GGGGGGGGGGGGGGGGGGGGGGGGGGGGGGGGCAGCUUGGGGGGGAGGUGAUUUGGGCACUUUAUUCUGAGGGGUGGUGUGGGAUUUUGAGGGGGGUUCCAGGUGGGAGUGGAGUCUGUUCUCGCAGGGGGAGGAGGACUGUGAGACUUGGCAGGGAUUAUUUUGAGGAAGGGGCUCAGAGCUCUGCCUUGGGGGUGCCCAAAAUAGUUGUCUUUUUUCGAUUUGCAAACGAGAUUGGGGGGGUGAUUAAAGUGAGGAGGCAGUAUAAAAUUGGAUUUUUUUCUUGGAAGGCUUUCAGGAAAGGUGUUCACCAAAGCCCACCCCCACAGGGGUGAGGGCAUUUUUACAUCUUCUGGGACAUUGGUGCCAUUUCACAGGGAGUUGAACCUUUCCCUUGGCCCGGGGAGGCUUUUCCAAGGAAAAACUACUUUUGGUGGAGGAGGAGGAGUCUUGUGGAGGAUUUCUGGGCUCGCUGCCUCCACGAGGAAUCCAGCAGCUCCUGUCUGUGGUGAUUCCCACGUGGAUCAGGUCGUGGUGCAUUCCUGGGUGACGAAAGUGCCUCCCACAGCACGGGCAGAGAGGGAUUUGGGGUGAUCCUGUUGAGCCAGGAUGAGUUUGGGGGAUCCUGUUGGGUCAGGAUGGAUCCUGUUGGGCCAGGAUGGAUUUGGGAUUGUUCUGUUGGGUCAGGAUGGAUUUGGGAUUGUUCUGUUGGGUCAGGAUGGAUUUGGGAUUGUUCUGUUGGGUCAGGAUGGAUUUGGGAUUGUUCUGUUGGGUCAGGAUGGAUUUGGGAUUGUUCUGUUGGGUCAGGAUGGAUUUGGGAUUGUUCUGUUGGGUCAGGAUGGAUUUGGGAUUGUUCUGUUGGGUCAGGAUGGAUUUGGGAUUGUUCUGUUGGGUCAGGAUGGAUUUGGGAUUGUUCUGUUCAUGUUGUGUCAGGAUGUAUUUGGGAUGAUCCUGUUGGGUCAGGAUGGAUUUGGGAUGGAUCCUGUUGGGUCAGGAUGGAUCCUGUUGGGCCAGGAUGGAUUUGGGAUGGAUCCUGUUGGGUCAGGAUGGAUUUGGGAUGGAUCCUGUUGGGCCAGGAUGGAUUUGGGAUGAUUCUGUUGGGUCAGGAUGGAUUUGGGAUGAUCCUUUUGGGUCAGGAUGGAUUUGGGAGAUCCUCUUGGGCCGGGGUGGAUUAG
rnacentral:lncRNA from 12 species